CUUCCAAUUGGAAACAUUGUGUCCUUACUGGAGCAUAACAUAGUUUUAAAUGCUUUGUGCAUGAUACGAAGAAAUUGAAUGCUGGUGGUUGGGGUUCUUCAUACACCAUAACAAAUUAUUACUCAGUACUACAUAACAAAUUAUUACUCAGUACCAAGUAAAUUAAGAAAUACACCUACCAUACUUCCAUUGUCCUUUCUAUGACAACAACUUUCAAGGACAAUGGAAGUAUGGUAGGUGUAUCUCUUAAUUUACUUGUACUGAGUAAUAAUUUGUUAUGUGGUACUGAGUAAUAAUUUGUUAUGAUGUAUGAAGAACCCCAACCACCAGCAUUCAAUUUAUUCGUACCAUGCACAGAGCCUUUAAAACUAUGUUAAGGUUCAGUAAGGACACAGUGUUUCC